rnacentral:tRNA from 1 species
UCCCUGGUAACUCAGCUGGUAAAAAAUCUGCCUGCAAUGCAGGAGACCCAGGUUCGAUUCCUGGGUUGGGAA